rnacentral:lncRNA from 1 species
AUAAAUAUACCAAACAUUACAUUUGUAGUUGCAAUAGAUUGGAAAAACAAUGAAAAUAAAUUAUGUUUUGGAAAUGGAGUGUGAAGUGUGAACUUCGUGGUGUGAUAUAAUAAGGAAGCUCAAUGAUAUUGCAAUUGAUGGUUAAAGAGAGUAGAAAUCAAGCGAGAUCCUUUUACGACCAUAUCAUAACAUUUUACACGGGGCAUGAGGGUAAAAACAUUGGAAAACGUUACUUUAACAACGUUUUUUGACAACGUUUUUUACAACGCCAGAUGGCGUUGUCUUAUUGACUGAUGCAUUUAAUUUUUAAAACGUGUAUAAUUAAUUUAGUAAGGGCAUUUUGGGAAGAUGGAAAUGGGGGUAUAGUGUUGGCGCUCUCUUCAGAAAUUGGUUUCUUCUCUGAAAAACGAAACUGCGCUCUCCUCUCUCAACUGAACCAAAAACUUUAUCUCUGAAAAACGCCACCCUCAGAUUUUCUCAUUUGUCGUUGACGAAGUCAGGCAACGAUAUCUCUGUGAAAAUAACGCAAUGACUGAAAAAGGUAUCGGUCUUUCCGUUGAAGCCUGGAUUUUUGGGCGAAGUGUGGCUUUUUGGCAACCGUCGAACGGAGACGUUUCGAACGAAGAGGUGUUUUCGUUUUCUUUUUUGUUCGUUUAGUUGUUUGAUUCGUUGCCUUUAUUGUGCGUUUCUUUUUCGUUUAGGUGUUGUCUAUGGUGGUUCAAAACUCUGAAAGUUCAAAGCUUUGAAAGGUUACGUUUCUUCGUUGUUGACGUUGCGGAGUUGGUUACUGGGUGGUUGGUUUUUAUGGAAAGUUGAAGGUGGAUUGAAGCGAAGUCUAGGGCAAAGGUGUGGACAUUGUUCCCUUUUAAGAAAUUUGUUCUCUGAAGCAUGAUAUUGUUUGUAGAAGUUUUGUAUUUUUAUGAGUCAAUGCUUUCUAUUUAACCAAAUGUUACUGUUUGUACUUUUUCUUUGAUGGGUUUGAGUGGUUUUUGUUUAUCCCCUUCUGUGUUCGUUAGUUUGAUUGAAUCUUGUGGUGAAAUCUGCCUUUAGGUUUGUUUGGGUGCCGGAAAUUGUGAUUUAUGUUUAAAAAGAACUGUGAAUGUUAUAGCCAAUGUAAUUUAUGUUAACAAGUUUUUUUGCUUUCUUUUCUUUCUGAAUCACUAGCUGGCUUUUUAAGAAAUUGGACGUACGUGAUUCUGAUGAGGAUGGGGACGUCAUGACUUAGAUUGAUUCAUCACUCUCUAUGCAGUUUGAUUUUCCUUUACAAGUUUCUAAUUUUGUUUCUAUGAUGCGUCAAAGUUUGUAAAUUUCCUGUGAUUAUAGCUUUUAACUGUCAUGGUUUUGGAUUUGAAAUACUUGCACCAAAUAUAAUUAAUAUAUCUGAGAUACACAUCCUCUGCUGUUAUUACUCAAGAGUAGAACCAAAAGAUGGAAAUGAUUCAUUAGAUAUAUGUUGGGGGAAUUAAUGAAUUCACAAUGUUGUAUUGUCUCAGU